UACGGAGGGUGCGCGCGUUGUCCGGAAUCACUGGGCGUAAAGGGCGCGUAGGUGGCGCGGGCAGUCAACGGUGAAAGUUCGGGGCUCAACCCUGAAUCGGCCGUCGAUACUCCCGGGCUUGAGCACUGUAGAGGCAGAUGGAAUUCCGGGUGUAGCGGUGGAAUGCGUAGAGAUCCGGAAGAACACCGGUGGCGAAGGCGGUCUGCUGGGCAGUAGCUGACACUGAGGCGCGACAGCGUGGGGAGCAAACAGG
rnacentral:rRNA from 1 species